rnacentral:lncRNA from 1 species
AUGAGGUGGUUGGAUGGCAUCACUGACUCGAUGGACACAAGUUUGAGCAAGCUUCAGCAGCUGGUGAUGGGAAGCCUGGUAUGCUGCAGUCCACAGGGUCACAAAGAGUCGGACACGACUGAGUGACUAAACUGAAGUGAACUGAGAGCAGGGUAGGUUCGGGGCCUCCUUGGCAGGAUUCCAGCUGAAAGACUUCACUUCUCAGAGAGUCCCAGAAUCACUAUAUCUAAGAAGAGAAGGUGGUAAGCAAAAGAAAGAUAGUCAACAAAGCAAAUUUAAUAACCCUGGUGAUAGAGGCAGACUUUUAUUUCUAACAUGAAUAAUCCUAUUUUGCAAUAUUUACUAAUGAUCAACACAAUUGUACUCAUACACAGUUCAUAUAUCACUACCUAUAGUCAACAUAAAACUUCCCCUUUGGAUUGGUUUUAUAGAUCAGUUCCAUCAAUAACCAAGAAUUAAUUUUAACGAAAAUAAGUCUCAGGUGAUAUAGAUUACAUGUAAUUAGAACCAAAGUAUUGCUCCUUUGAGUACUAGCAUGUUUGUAAUAUCAUUGAAAGGUAUAAUGAAAUUUAAAUAAUUGAUAUUUUUCUCUUUUUAAAAAAGAAAACCCUUCAACAUUUAGAGUUGUUUUUGUUUCAUAUGGAGAAAAAGUGUAAGAAAGAAUUAAUUACUUUAAGAUUGUUUAAUAACUUAACAUUAAGCUACCAAAACUGGAAGAAUUAGCUUCAGAUAUCAUGCUUCACAUUUCAUGUUUCAAUAGAACAAAAAUAGCAUUGAGCAAACCUUUUCAAACAACGUAUAGGAUAACAUCUCUUUUUAGUAAUGAGAAGAGCCAUCUUUUUAUAAAAGACUCUUUCUUUCCUAGAAAAUAUUUUCAAGGUGACAUGUCAGUUAAAUGAAAGGAGCAUUAGACUAACAAGGGAGACAUAAAAUUUAUUAUGACUAUAAAAGAUUUCACAUCCACUAAGAGACAUCUUUUUUUUUUAACCACCUUAUUUUACCCACUAGAACUCUUUCAAAAUUAAGUAUACUUCUUAGAUCUCCCAAAACUGAAUUAAAGUUUCAUCUGUGAGUCAAUUCAAAUGUUAUGUUUGGACUAGAACAGAUAAAGAUGACAGAGAAAAAAGACCCUAAGCAAGUAUCCUCCUCCAAACAUAAAAACUACGAUGAUAUAUAGAGCAACUCUCUCUGAAAAUGACUUAGAAACUAGCAUAACUGCUACAAGCAAGGAUAUAAAGAAAGAACUGCAUGUAUUCUGAUAGGUAGGAGGAGAAGCGAUUUAACCAAGACUCAUACCCCUAGAUGGGUAUGACUCAUACCCCAGAAAAGGAGGGAGAUAUCACCGGCUUAGAGAUAUUUCCUAAGAAGUGAGGGGUUUGUGGUACAGUACUGAAGACAAGCCCACUUGGCUAAUUAUGAAAACCAAUAAAAUUACAGAGGUCAAUGGGAAACCAAGACAAUGCUCUUGAAAGGAAUGUACAGAACUUGCUUACUUCCAGUCUGAGCACAGAGUAGCAGAUAGAAAACUGUCUGGUUAUCAGGAUGGUCUGCCGGGACCAUCCCAGUGCACUCCCCAACCCACACUGGGCUCUGGUUCUAGUCUCUUUGUCUCCAGCCCUGACACUCCA